UACGUAGGGUGCAAGCGUUGUCCGGAAUUAUUGGGCGUAAAGAGCUCGUAGGCGGUUUGUCGCGUCGAAUGUGAAAACCCGGGGCUCAACCUCGGGUCUGCAGUCGAUACGGGCAAACUAGAGUAUUGCAGGGGAGACUGGAAUUCCUGGUGUAGCGGUGAAAUGCGCAGAUAUCAGGAGGAACACCGGUGGCGAAGGCGGGUCUCUGGGCAAUAACUGACGCUGAGGAGCGAAAGCGUGGGGAGCGAACAGG
rnacentral:rRNA from 1 species